rnacentral:rRNA from 1 species
GAGGGGGCCGCAAGGUCACCGUCGUACGGGUGCGUAACGCGUAUGCAACCUACCUUCUACUGGGGGAUAGCCCGGGGAAACCCGGAUUAAUACCGCAUGACACAGCGGGGUCUCAUGGCCUUGUUGUUAAAGAUUUAUCGGUGGAAGAUGGGCAUGCGUCUGAUUAGCUAGUUGGUGCGGGUAACGGCCCACCAAGGCGACGAUCAGUAGGGGAGCUGAGAGGUUGAUCCCCCACACGGGCACUGAGAUACGGGCCCGACUCCUACGGGAGGCAGCAGUAGGGAAUAUUGGGCAAUGGAUGAGAGUCUGACCCAGCCAUGCCGCGUGCCGGAUGAAGGCCCUCAGGGUUGUAAACGGCUUUUAUCCGGGAAGAAGAGCAAGGAUGCGUCCUUGUGUGACGGUACCGGAUGAAUAAGCACCGGCUAACUCCGUGCCAGCAGCCGCGGUAAUACGGAGGGUGCAAGCGUUGUCCGGAUUUAUUGGGUUUAAAGGGUGCGUAGGUGGCUUGUUAAGUCAGUGGUGAAAGACAGCCGCUCAACGGUUGAGGUGCCAUUGAUACUGACAGGCUUGAAGCAGACAGAGGCUGCCGGAAUGGAUGGUGUAGCGGUGAAAUGCAUAGAUAUCAUCCAGAACACCGAUUGCGAAGGCAGGUGGCUAUGUCUGACUUGACACUGAG